rnacentral:misc_RNA from 1 species
GGGAGCCGCGAUCACGUCGAGCGGACCGGUGGUCCGCUCCC